rnacentral:rRNA from 1 species
ACUCAAAGGAAUUGACGGGGGCCCGCACAAGCGGAGGAGCAUGUGGCUUAAUUCGAUGCAACGCGAAGAACCUUACCCAGACUCGACUUGUGACUGCACGGCCUGUGAAAGCAGGCUUCCUUCGAGGGUGUCACACAGGUGCUGCAUGGCUGUCGUCAGUUCGUGCCGUGAGGUGUUCGGUUAAGUCCGUCAACGAACGCAACCCCUGCCGUUAUUUGCCAACGGGUAAUGCCGGGAACUCUAACGGGACCGCCCCUUCAAACGGGAGGAAGGGGGGGAUGAUGUCAAGUCAGCAUGGCCCUUACGUCUGGGGCCGCACACGUGCUACAAUGGCCGGUACAGAAGGAUGCGAAACCGCGAGGUGGAGCAAACCCCUUAAAACCGGCCUCAGUUCGGAUUGGAGUCUGCAACCCGACUCCAUGAAGUUGGAUUCGCUAGUAACGGCGUAUCAGCAUUUGACGCCGUGAAUACGUUCCCGGGCCUUGCACACACCGCCCGU